UAGGGAAUCUUCCACAAUGGACGCAAGUCUGAUGGAGCAACGCCGCGUGAGUGAAGAAGGCUUUCGGGUCGUAAAACUCUGUUAUUGAAGAAGAACGUGUGUGACAGUAACUGGUCAUGCAGUGACGGUAUUCAAUCAGAAAGUCACGGCUAACUACGUGCCAGCAGCCGCGGUAAUACGUAGGUGGCAAGCGUUGUCCGGAUUUAUUGGGCGUAAAGCGAGUGCAGGCGGUCUUUUAAGUCUGAUGUGAAAGCCUUCGGCUUAACCGAAGAAGGGCAUCGGAAACUGGGAGACUUGAGUGCAGAAGAGGAGAGUGGAACUCCAUGUGUAGCGGUGGAAUGCGUAGAUAUAUGGAAGAACACCAGUGGCGAAGGCGGCUCUCUGGUCUGCAACUGACGCUGAGGCUCGAAAGCAUGGGUAGCGAACAGGAUUAGAUACCCUGGUAGUCCAUGCCGUAAACGAUGAGCGCUAGGUGUUGGGGACUU
rnacentral:rRNA from 1 species